UGGAACGUAGCCCAGCAGGUCAGAGCAGCUGGCUUAUAUCCAGCGUGUCGAGGGUUCGAGUCCUUCCGUUCCAA
rnacentral:tRNA from 1 species